rnacentral:rRNA from 1 species
GAUGAACGCUAGCGACAGGCUUAACACAUGCAAGUCGAGGGGCAGUGGGGGUAGCAAUACCCGCCGGCGACCGGCGCACGGGUGAGUAACGCGUAUGCAACUUACCUAUCAGAGGGGGAUAACCCGGCGAAAGUCGGACUAAUACCGCAUGAAGCAGGGGCCCCGCAUGGGGAUAUUUGCUAAAGAUUUAUCGCUGAUAGAUAGGCAUGCGUUCCAUUAGGCAGUUGGCGGGGUAACGGCCCACCAAACCGACGAUGGAUAGGGGUUCUGAGAGGAAGGUCCCCCACAUUGGUACUGAGACACGGGCCAAACUCCUACGGGAGGCAGCAGUGAGGAAUAUUGGUCAAUGGGCGCGAGCCUGAACCAGCCAAGUCGCGUGAGGGAUGAAGGUUCUAUGGAUCGUAAACCUCUUUUAUAAGGGAAUAAAGUGCGGGACGUGUCCUGUUUUGUAUGUACCUUAUGAAUAAGGAUCGGCUAACUCCGUGCCAGCCGCCGCUGUAA